rnacentral:rRNA from 1 species
GAUGAACGCUGGCGGCGUGCUUAACACAUGCAAGUCGAACGGUGAACGAGGGAGCUUGCUCCCUCCGGAUCAGUGGCGAACGGGUGAGUAACACGUGAGCAAUCUGCCCCGAACUCUGGGAUAAGCGCUGGAAACGGCGUCUAAUACCGGAUACGACGCGCGAAGGCAUCUUCUGCGCGUGGAAAGAAUUUCGGUUCGGGAUGAGCUCGCGGCCUAUCAGCUAGUUGGUGAGGUAACGGCUCACCAAGGCGACGACGGGUAGCCGGCCUGAGAGGGUGACCGGCCACACGGGGACUGAGACACGGCCCAGACUCCUACGGGAGGCAGCAGUGGGGAAUAUUGCACAAUGGGCGCAAGCCUGAUGCAGCAACGCCGCGUGAGGGACGACGGCCUUCGGGUUGUAAACCUCUUUUAGUAGGGAAGAAGCGAAAGUGACGGUACCUGCAGAAAAAGCACCGGCUAACUACGUGCCAGCCGCCGCAGUAAAAC